rnacentral:rRNA from 1 species
GCAGUCGAACGGCAGCGCGGGGCAACCUGGCGGCGAGUGGCGAACGGGUGAGUAAUAUAUCGGAACGUGCCCUGGAGUGGGGGAUAACGCAGCGAAAUUUACGCUAAUACCGCAUACGAUCUAAGGAUGAAAGCGGGGGACCGUAAGGCCUCGCGCGAUUGGAGCGGCUGAUAUCAGAUUAGGUUGUUGGUGAGGUAAAAGCUCACCAAGCCGACGAUCUGUAGCUGGUUUGAGAGAACGACCAGCCACACUGGGACUGAGACACGGCCCAGACUCCUACGGGAGGCAGCAGUGGGGAAUUUUGGACAAUGGGCGAAAGCCUGAUCCAGCAAUGCCGCGCGCAGGAAGAAGGCCUUCGGGUUGUAAACUGCUUUUGUACGGAACGAAAAGGUCUGCCCUAAUACGGCGGGCCCAUGACGGUACCGUAAGAAUAAGCACCGGCUAACUACGUGCCAGCAGCCGCGGUAAUACGUAGGGUGCGAGCGUUAAUCGGGAUUACUGGGCGUAAAGCGUGCGCAGGCGGUGAUGUAAGACAGUUGUGAAAUCCCCGGGCUCAACCUGGGAAUUGCAUCUGUGACUGCAUCGCUAGAGUACGGUAGAGGGGGAUGGAAUUCCGCGUGUAGCAGUGAAAUGCGUAGAUAUGCGGAGGAACACCGAUGGCGAAGGCAAUCCCCUGGACCUGUACUGACGCUCAUGCACGAAAGCGUGG